rnacentral:lncRNA from 1 species
AUGUGCGCUGCCCAGGCCGCGCCGCCCGGGCCUCCCCCGCCGCCGGGGGCCGGGGCACGUGUGGCGGACACGGCGCCGCAGCCCGGGGGUCACUUACAUAAGGGACGGGCGGCCGGGCCCGCCCGAGGCCCCCGCGGGCCCGCGCUGCGCCAGCGGCGUUGCCGGCCUAUGCGGCUCGGGAGCGCCCGGUACCCGCUGGUACGGGGCGGGAGGAAGAAAGGGAGGAAUGAAGGCAGACGGGCGGGCGGGGGUCGUCGCUACCGCCACCUCCGCCGCCUCCUCCUGUCCGCGCUGCUGCCCCCAGCCCAGCCGAGCCCGCGCUCCCGGUACGUGCCGGUGCCGGUGGCAUCUCCCUCCCGCAGCGGCGACAACGGCGCGGCCCGGCCCGGCCCGGCCCCGCGCGCCCGCGCACCCACCUCGCUCGCUCACCCGCCGCGCGGGGGGCGGGACGGGAUGGGGGGGCGGGAGGAGUUCUCGCGAGAGCCGCAGCGAACCUCCGCGGGAAUUUUCAAAUGCGCGGGACACGGCCCCAGGCGCUGGCGGCGGCGGCGGCCUCUGAACUACGUAUCCCGGCGUGCCGUGCGCAGCCGCUUCCGUUUCCGCCCCGGCGGCUGCUGUCUCUCGCGGGGCACGCCGGGAGCUGUAGUUCCUGGACCGGCAGGACCAGUGUUCCGCAAAGCCCGUUCCUGGCCCCCGUCCCGCACCUCGUGGGGAUGGCUCUGCUCCCCUGCCCCGCCAAGAGGGAGCCCCCGGCAGGGAGAAAGCUGGCCCUGCUUACCUGUAUCUAUUAAUUUGUAUCAUACAAGAGCACAGGUCAUGAAGAAGGAGCCCACCAUGCCAAGCAAGAAGAUUGCACAGCAAUAAUUUAAUAUGAAGAGAGGCACUCCAGAAUUUCCCAGAGAAAGAGAAAAUUAAGUUGGAGUGAAAUUGCAGUUGCUGAAGAGUCAUGUAGUCACAAAAAAAGGAGGGAGAGAAGUGUCUGCAUUUCAGUUUAAACAGAAAAAGAGGGACCUUAGGAGACCUUGAAAACUGCAUUCUUGAGCAGCAUACUGAGUAUUUUAAUUUCUCUGUUUCUCCUGUAGAAAAUGUCCCAGCUGCACUUUAUGUAUUACAGCAUUAUAUAUUACUAAGUUUGGGAAUUGUUUUUUAUUGUGUUUUAUUGUUGUUGUUGAGUUUCUUUUCACUGUGGUAAUAUGAAGCUGAGAUGUCUUCCUCUUGCAGACUGAAAACAUGGCUUUUCUCCUCUUAAAUCAGAUUGGGACAGGAAAGAGUUUUCUUGUUCUGGUCCUCUGUCAUCCUUCCGCUGUGUGUAGCAAUUGG